rnacentral:rRNA from 1 species
CCUACGAGCGGCAGCAGUCGAGAAUCAUUCACAAUGGGGGAAACCCUGAUGGUGCAACGCCGCGUGGGGGAAUGAAGGUCUUCGGAUUGUAAACCACUGUCAUGUGGGAGCAAAUUAAAAAGAUAGUACCACACGAGGUAGAGACGGCUAACUCUGUGCCCGCCGCCGCUGUAAUACAGAGGUCUCAAGAGUUGUUCGGAGUCACUGGGCGUAAAGCGUGCGUAGGCUGUUUCGUAAGUUGUGUGUGAAACGAGCGGGCUCAACCCGCGGAGUGCACAUGAUCUGGGGAGACUAGAGGAAUGGAGGGGGAACUGGAAUUCGCGGUGUAGCAGUGAAAUGCG